UACGUAGGGGGCAAGCGUUGUCCGGAUUUACUGGGCGUAAAGGGCGGGUAGGCGGCCACUGCAAGUCGGUUGUGAAAUCUCCGGGCUUAACUCGGAAAGGUCAAUCGAUACUGCAGGGCUAGAGUGCAGAAGGGGCAACUGGAAUUCUCGGUGUAGCGGUGAAAUGCGUAGAUAUCGAGAGGAACACCUGCGGCGAAGGCGGGUUGCUGGGCUGACACUGACGCUGAACUGCGAAAGCUAGGGGAGCGAACGGG
rnacentral:rRNA from 1 species